GACUCUGUAGCUCAGUGGUAGAGCACAUGCCUGGCAUCCAUAAGGCCCUGGUUCAAUCCCCAGCACUGCCA
rnacentral:tRNA from 1 species